rnacentral:lncRNA from 1 species
ACCCUGGGGAAGCUUGCAGUUGUGCAGAUCUACUAGAGUUGAGUGCUAAGUUUACCUAAGGGAAUAUGAUAAUAGUAAUAGGCUAAAUUGCAUCCUAUAAUGUAAUCUUAUCUUCAAUAAAACUGAUUUUUAAAAUCUACAUCUUUUGGUAACAGCAUUUACUUAUCAGUUGGCUUUGAACUUGGAAUAGAAAAGGAACAUGAUUACUCUAAAACCACAGUCUCAAACUCAAAAAGCCGUUAAAAAAGAAAACAAUAAAUAAAACUUCUAUGAAGGCUCAAGACUUCUCUCAUCAUUGAAAGUCACGCCUCAAGACUAAUUUAGAUGGAAAUCAGAUGGAAAGCCUGAUGCUGCAGUUUGUUGAAUUAUAAGGUUCUUUCAGAAGAAGUUUUCUUGAUCAUAGCAGAGACAGUGUGGAUUUGGGAGCUGUUCAGAUUCAAUCCUGCUCCUCUUGACCUUCCAGCAAUUUUGUAAGUACUUAGUUUUCUACAUUGGAUCCU